UAUAGGGACAGGUGUUGGUGCAGGAUGUGUGUAUGGGUAUAGGUACAGGUGUGGGUGCAGGAUGUGUGUAUGGGUAUAGGUACAGGUGUGGGUGCAGGAUG